UCCUGAUGAUUGCCAUAUCAGGUAGAGUUAAACCACUGAAGCCUCUCUGUGCUUGUCUUUGAGUCAGGUCUAAUGAUAGGAAUGGUUUCCAUACCACACCAGUUCUCCAGUCUGGCUCCCUUUCGAGUCGCCUUAGCGCUCUAACCUCCUCAUUGUCCUCGGCUCCAUCUCCUCCUGCCUGCCUGCUCUCCCAUGUUUCUGUUCAGAACAAAAGAUGCAAUCCUCAUCAGCUCACAAAACGCCUACCUCCAGGUUGCUCCUUCACACUGAGACACCAAGCUGGAAGCUCCGUUCACAUUCAUCCGACCUCAAGAUCAGCUCAGACUCAGUUCUUUAUCUAACCUGUCCUCCAUUCAGCUCUUUACCAAAGAGUUCUGUCUGUUAAAUAAUUGCCCCCAACUGAAAUGUCCUGGAAUGUGAGUCUCAGCAAGAACAAGAGAAGUGAAGGGACGAGUGGAAGAGGAACCAUGCAGCAGAAGGAUUCAUCUGACUGUCAGCAGACAGAACGAAUGAAGCCCCCGGGACGCAGGCUUACACCCUCUGUGUGCUGCCCUUCACAGGACUGAUAGAUGGAAGUGUGACAUUAAAAUGGUAAUGACUCAUGGGAGACCUGACAAGAGAAUGCUGGGUGACCUUUGACCUUUGAUAGACCACAGUGUUACUGAGGAGCUGACAGAGAGGAUGGAGAAAGAACUGCCCAGUGUUUUCCUGCAGGUCAAAUAUCAUCCUGACUAAAAGUGUAAAAAAAAAAUACCUAAAAGUGUGGGGGGAAAAAACAUCCCAAACUGUCUUUUCAUGUAUGUCAAAGUGAAAAUAUAGUUUUGACACUUAUUUGAUUUUUCUAUUUCACACUGAAAAACAUCUGUAUAAUAUGUCUGUAACUGAAGCUAAGCUGCUACCUUAGAGCCAACAUGUAAAAGGAAAAACAUUACAGGGUUUUCCUUUGUAGCAGGUAGCAAGAAGGUCCUGGGUUCAAAUCCUGUGCAUGUCUGCGUUCUCUCCAGAUAUCCCAGCUUCACUGAUAAAACUACCUCUUAAAAAAUUGCAAAAAUAUAAUAGCUUUGUAUGCAUUCAAUGAGUACGUCUUAAAAUAUUCCCACAUUGGUGUAAUUUUGGAUUAUAAAAGUAAAAAUUGAGAUGGUUUGACUAACACAAUAACAUUUAAUUUAAUAUUAUUUACUCUUAUCUUGAUGUUUUAUUUCUGUGGCUCGCUAGACUCCAACAGACCCCAGGAGUGGCUAUGACCUGCAGACGGGUCUGAGUCUGACUCAUUUGUUUGUAAUUGAAAUCAGUUUUCACCUUUUUGGGUUUUUUUUGCAACUUUAUUUUGAUUAAAUUGCCAUAUUAUGUUGAUCAUUAUUGAUUUGUAAAUGCAAUAAAAGAUGAUGAAUAAUUUUAA